rnacentral:rRNA from 1 species
GUGUCAGCAGCCGCGGUAAUACGGAGGAUGCGAGCGUUAUCCGGAUUUAUUGGGUUUAAAGGGUGCGUAGGCGGACUGAUAAGUCAGUGGUGAAAACCUGCAGCUUAACUGUAGAACUGCCAUUGAUACUGUCAGACUUGAGUAUGGUCAAGGUAGGCGGAAUGUGUAAUGUAGCGGUGAAAUGCUUAGAUAUUACACAGAGCACCGAUUGCGAAGGCAGCUUGCUGGGCCAUUACUGACGCUGAUGCACGAAAGCGUGGGGAGCGAACAGGAUUAGAUACCCUGGUAGUCCACGCCGUAAACGAUGAUCACUCGCUGUUGGCGAUACACAGUCAGCGGCUAAGCAAAAGCAUUAAGUGAUCCACCUGGGGAGUACGGCCGCAAGGCUGAAACUCAAAUGAAUUGGCGGGG